UGACGGCGACCGGCGCACGGGUGAGUAACGCGUAUGCAACUUACCUAUCAGAGGGGGAUAGCCCGGCGAAAGUCGGAUUAAUACCCCAUAAAACAGGGGUCCCGCAUGGGAAUAUUUGUUAAAGAUUCAUCGCUGAUAGAUAGGCAUGCGUUUCAUUAGGCAGUUGGCGGGGUAACGGCCCACCAAACCGACGAUGGAUAGGGGUUCUGAGAGGAAGGUCCCCCACAUUGGUACUGAGACACGGACCAA
rnacentral:rRNA from 1 species